UGAAGAGAAAUAUUUUAAAAAACAUCAAUUUGAGAGUUGAAUAUAAUUGGGAGGAAAGUGCCGAUAAAAAUAGAAUCUACACCAAUAGGUACGAUAGCAACUUGAGGGGUGACGACAAAAAAGCUUAGCUCUUAAGACAAAUUUUUAUUAUAGUUUCCAGCUCGUAAGAUGUAUUGCUUGCGUGUUUCCAGCUCGUAUUAUCGUUGCGAAUCUUUUAUUAUAAAAGGAAAGAAGAUAUGAUUGUGUUGACGAAAGAGCCGAACGCUGACUGAAAGCACCUUCAAGAAUUCGCAUUCGGAGGAAGAUAGUUAUUAUAUGGAUAAGAAAGAAUUUAGAAAGGAAAUUUCUGAAGAAGUGACAAGGGAGUCACUAAUUGCCAUAUCUUAUUCUGAACCAGAGAAGGAUCUUUGUGUUCGAUCUAGACCUGGAAACUGCCACGCUGAGAAUGUUGUUAAAGCGCUAAAUGCUGAUGGAGAUGAUAAAUACUCUGAGCUGAUCUCAAUUUCCUACGAAGAGUCGCCAGACCCUAAAGUUGAACUCAAGGGCUAAAUUAAAAAACUGGAUUGCUCAUCCAGCUCUGUGUAAAACACUUCCUUUGCAGCAUGUUGUUUGUUACACAUACAGAACUGGAUUUAACUUGAAUUUGCAGUGUUCCCCAUGGACUCUACCCUAUAAACUCUUUUGUUAUAAUCAACCUAAACCAAAAUCAAGCACACAAGUGCUUCACCAACUGUUUGAUUUUCUUUGUAUUUAGAUUUGGUGCAUUUUUUCUCAAGUUUGAGCUGCAGAACUUUGUCAAGAGUCACUCACCUGGAGUGUCCAUUUUUCCCCUUUCAUUUCCCAAGUAUAGCUGUUAUUUGGUGCCCAAGCUCGUGUUUUUGUAGCUUUGUUUAAAUCAUAUAACGACGUCUGUGCAAAUAUUGUGCUUUCCUUUUGACUGAUCAAUUCAUUCCAGCUGCAGAGCCUACUUCGUAUGA